GGUUGCGUGGUCUAACGGUUAUGACGUGUCUUUCACACAGACAAGGUUCCGAGUUCGAGACUCGGCGCGGCUA